rnacentral:tRNA from 1 species
UCAAGCUAAAUUGAAUUUCACAAAUAACUUUUUAAUGUAAAUAAAAUGCUUUUAUCAAGCUCUAACUUG